rnacentral:rRNA from 1 species
AUUGAACGCUGGCGGCAUGCCUUACACAUGCAAGUCGAACGGUAACGGGCCUUCGGGUGCCGACGAGUGGCGAACGGGUGAGUAAUACAUCGGAACGUGCCCGAUCGUGGGGGAUAACGAGGCGAAAGCUUUGCUAAUACCGCAUACGAUCUACGGAUGAAAGCAGGGGACCGCAAGGCCUUGCGCGGACGGAGCGGCCGAUGGCAGAUUAGGUAGUUGGUGGGAUAAAAGCUUACCAAGCCGACGAUCUGUAGCUGGUCUGAGAGGAUGAUCAGCCACACUGGGACUGAGACACGGCCCAGACUCCUACGGGAGGCAGCAGUGGGGAAUUUUGGACAAUGGGCGCAAGCCUGAUCCAGCCAUGCCGCGUGCAGGAUGAAGGCCUUCGGGUUGUAAACUGCUUUUGUACGGAACGAAAAGCAGCAGGUUAAUACCCCGCUGUUCUGACGGUACCCAAAGAAUAAGCACCGGCUAACUUCGUG